CGCCAAUUCUCACUUGUCUCUCCAUUCUGUUGUAAUCUCCUUCCCUCCGCAUUCUACUCCCAAAUCAAGUUCCUUCACUCAGGAAUGGCCACACAAAGUGAGCAUCCUCCGCGACAAGGUCGGAGUGCUGAAGGGAUUGCAAUUUCUUUUAUUGGGCAGUAUUACACUCUUCUCCAUCAUUCGCCUGAGCGGGUUUACCUAUUUUACCAAGAUACAAGUAUUUCGAGUCGGCAGGAUCUUAAUGGUCUCAUGAGAACAGUGACAACCAGGAACGUGAGUCCAGCUUUCUUUCAUUUUCAUUACUUUAGAGUAUGUGCAGUUUACUUUAUGAAAGUUUUCUCUACGGCCAGAUGGCCUGCUGUGUAAAAAUUAAGUAUGCUUGAAAUUUUUGUUGUGCC